rnacentral:rRNA from 1 species
AACAAACGCUGGCGGCGUGCCUAAUACAUGCAAGUCGAACGGGGAAAGCUUUCGGGUGAGUACUAGUGGCGCACGGGUGAGGAACGCGUGGAUAAUCUGCCUUAGAGUGGGGGAUAACUAGUCGAAAGAUUAGCUAAUACCGCAUAAGACCACGAGAGCUGCGGCUUUUGAGGUCAAAGGUUUUUCGCUCUAAGAUGAGUCCGCGUAAGAUUAGCUAGUUGGUGAGGUAACGGCUCACCAAGGCGACGAUCUUUAACUGGUCUGAGAGGAUGAUCAGUCACCCUGGAACUGAGACACGGUCCAGCCUCCUACGGGGGGCAGCAGUAGUGAAUAUUGCACAAUGGAGGAAACUCUGAUGCAGCGGCGCCGCGUGGGUGAUGAAGGCCUUCGGGUCGUAAAGCUCUGUCGCAGGGGAAUAACACAAUGAAGGUACCCUGUAAGAAAGGAUCGGCUAACUUCGUG